CUUAGGAUUGUAAACUUCUGUUAAGUGGGAAGAAAUAUUCCGUUGUAAUAUAGCGGAAAGAUGACGGUACCAUUAGAGAAAGCACCGGCUAACUUCGUGC
rnacentral:rRNA from 1 species